CCUCAGGUGGCUCAGAGGGUAAAGCAUCUGCCUGCAAUGCGGGAGACCCAGGUUUGAUCCCUGGGUUGGGAA
rfam:TPA: Bos taurus chromosome 6, whole genome shotgun sequence.